rnacentral:lncRNA from 1 species
UUUUAUGUGGUGCUGAGGAUCAAACCCGGUGCCUUACAGGUGCAAGGCAGUUGCUCUACCACUGAGCCAGCCCCAGCCCCUCUCAUUGCGAUUUUAAGUUGCGUUGUUAUAAUGGCUAAAGAUGUUGUGCAUCUUUACCUUUGCAUGUUGGACUCUGCAUUUUCUUCAUGACAGUAAUCUUAUUAUGACCUAGAAAAAUUCCAAACUAAACACUAUCUUAGAAGAAGGAGGAAAACAAAAAAGAUUAUAACUGGGAAUAAUGUCCAGGUGCAGUGGCAUAUACUUGAAAUCUCAGAAGCUUAGGGGACUGAGGCAGAAGGAUUGUGGGUUCAAAGCCACCCUCAGCAAUUUAGUGAGGUCCUAAGAAAUUUAGC